CCUACGGGAGGCAGCAGUGGGGAAUAUUGGACAAUGGGCGCAAGCCUGAUCCAGCAAUGCCGCGUGUGUGAAGAAGGCCUUCGGGUUGUAAAGCACUUUUAUCAGGAAAGAAAUCUUGCCGGUUAAUACCCGGCGGGGAUGACGGUACCUGAGGAAUAAGCACCGGCUAACUCUGUGCCAGCAGCCGCG
rnacentral:rRNA from 1 species